rnacentral:rRNA from 1 species
AACGAACGCUGGCGGCGCGCCUAAUACAUGCAAGUCGAGCGAGAAGACGCAGCAAUACGUUUGUAAAGCGGCGAACGGGUGAGGAAUACAUGGGUAACCUACCCUCGAGUGGGGAAUAACUAGCCGAAAGGUUAGCUAAUACCGCGUACGCUCCUUGGACUUCGGUUCAGGGAGGAAAGCGAUACCGUGGGUAUCGCGCUCUUGGAUGGGCUCAUGUCCUAUCAGCUUGUUGGGAGGUAACGGCUCACCAAGGCUUCGACGGGUAGCUGGUCUGAGAGGACAAUUAGCCACACUGGCACUGCGACACGGGCCAGACUCCUACGGGAGGCAGCAGUAAGGAAUAUUGCGCAAUGGGCGAAAGCCUGACGCAGCGACGCCGCGUGGGGGAUGAAGGUCUUCGGA